ensembl:lncRNA
AUGCAGGAGUUCCUACCACACACACAACCCCAGGUGCUGGAUGCAAAUUUCCUCCCACCACCACCUUGCCUGCCCCCCCCCCACACACACACACACACACACACAGUGUCCUUUUGUGCACUUGGGACUGCAUCCAGAAGGGUAGGCUGCCAUUUCUGGAUCAGUGUGCAUAAUAUAUAUAUAUAUAUAUAUAUAUAUCCACUAUAUAUAUCAUAGUGUACAAGAGUGCCCUGUGUAAAUAGGUCUAUUUUGCAUUCCUUUCAGGAGUGUGUGAUGAUUUCUGACUCCAGUUAUCUAAUGCACUUAGAUAUCUAUCCUUGCAAUCUUACUGAAUGUAUGAAGAAUGAGGGGAAAAUCAAACCUUAUUUUUGUACAGUUUGGAACUUUAUACUUGGAGCCUGACCACCUCAUCCUAGUGGAAAGAUGUACAGUGUGAAAAUCUGCUUUUACCUUGGAUUGGUACAGUAUUUUUGCAUCUGUGGGACCUACUUUUUGUUGUUCUAGUAGUUUGAACUAUAUAUAAACUGUACAAUCUGUAAAGUUUUUAUAGAAUAAAUAUUCAGCUGUGAACUGGUUAAAAUAAAACUAAUAUUUCUUAACACCUCUUAUAAGUGCUGCAAUAUGUAGUCCUCUUUCUCCACCCCCAUUCCCCCCACCACUCCCAGAAAUAGCUCACUCCAGCCUUUCAAGUCAUUUUAAACUGCACAUUUUAAAAUAUUUUUUGUAAAUACAGAUAGGUUUCCCUCGGACUGUACUCCUUAAUUUUCUCAAUUGCCAAUACAGCACAUUAAAGAAAAUGAAAUAUCAACACAUUACCUCUUCAAUCUGUUACCCAUCUUAGAUGCUUGAAUGCAGUUAAAAGAGGUUUACGUCUUGGUUGGUGUUAUGUGAAAAAUUCAAACUCUUCUGGGAAUUGCACUUGCAUUAUCUCUUCGACCCAAAACAAAAAGGAAAGAAAAAAGUACAUUAAGUUAUUCUGUUUCCAAAUUACUAAUGUCUUCAUGCAGUUACAAGAACAAUUAGUGUACAUUUCCUGCAAUUUUAGAAUAUAGGCCAGUCUUUGGAUUGCCACACAUUUCAAUACAUUUCCCACCCGUCUCUUAAUUGCUGUUUCUCUGAAAUACACCCAUUGAGCACCUGCAUGCUCUGGACAUUAAACACCAAAAUAAUGGGAAACCAGUCCACAGAUGCAUGGGAAAAAAUCCAGCUUUUCACAUUUCAAGCCAUAUUAUUUUUCAUGGUCAUAUUUGAACUGCUUGGCAGUAAACACUGAUAAAACACAUUCCUAGUUUUGGCAUGAUACUAAUGGGCAGCCUUUAAACAAAUUUAAUAAUAAGUAGUUUUAUAUUUAGUUUUUGCAUCAUGAGAAAAAUCUUCAUGGGCAACAGUAAGUAUAUUUAAUAUUUGUUUUUCUUCAUGUUGAGAGCUUUUGCUAAUUGAACAAUUUAUAAAAACUAUAAAUAUCUUUCUGAAGAAAGAUUGAGGAAAUGUAGAGGUUUAGGAACAUAUCUGUCCUUCACUUAAGCAAUGCUUUCAGCAAAUUUUAAACAUAUAAUGAAACAGCAGCAGAAUAAAAAAUAAAUGCAAGUUAGAAUAAAAAAUAAAUGCAAGUUAGAAUAAAAAAUAAAUGCAAGUUCAGAUUGCAUUACUGGUGUCCGAAGAGGCCUUUGCCUGUUCUGAACUAAUAGCAAAGUGGGCGAAAGCUUAACCUCCCUGGAAAUGAAAUUUUAAUGUUUGUGCGCAACAGGAAAAAGCCUCUAUCCAGACACAAUCCACCCUCAGACUUCUGGAAAUAAGUGCACCCAGAAGCAGUUCUCCAGUGGACAAAAACACCUUUAGGCAAAUGUGGGAAAAGGCUGUCUCUAAGACAUAAAAUUUUUUAAUGCUUCAUAAAUGCAUUUGCUAAUCCAUCUGAGGACUAGUUAUCCUUUCCCCAUCUGCUUGUUUGUUUUUGUACAUUGCAGAGUCUGGUCUUACUGCUUUGUGCUCUAGUGCAAUGGACCAAAGGACAGGAAUGGAACAGUUGCAUCUACCUGUUCCUUGCAGCAUCCUCACUCUUAGGAGCCCUGAGCUGCUACGUGUCUCAGUAGCAGAGGAUCACUUCAAGGUAUCCGGCACUCGCUGCCACAUGCAGGCACUUUGCAACCUGGCAAAGGCUCUCAGCCUACUGUUUAAGAAAUUAUGUAGCAAGUAAGUUAUGCUUGUCGAAUCCCAACUGCAGGCAUCAAAUUGACACUGGAAAAUCGAUCCAGGCAGGAGUGAACACAUCUGUUCAUACGUACUUAAAUCUGUGAUUCCACAUUGGUGUACAUGCUUAGAACACACACAAAAAUUACCCCUGAAUAUGUAACAUUGCUGCACAUUUGAAUAAGUUCCCCCCUUCCUGCUCGCUCACUCGCUCGCUCUCUCUCUCGCAACCAGUGGCUUAAUAGUCUCUUAAAUCUCUGGACUGAAUGGUGUGGUUCAAAUUCACACAACCAAAAGCUAUUUGGAUAUUUACAAUAUGAAGUCAAGUUCAUGUAUUGCAUAAUUGCU